rnacentral:misc_RNA from 1 species
AGCAGCCGCGGUAAUUCCAGCUCCAAUAGCGUAUAUUAAAGUUGUUGCAGUUAAAAGCUCGUAGUUGAAUUUCGGGGUUAGCAGGUCGGUCGUGCCAUCGGUAUGAACUGGUCUCGCUGAUCCCUCCCUCUUGACGAACUGUGAUGCCAUUAAUUUGGUGUCGCAGGGAAUCAGGACUGUUACUUUGAAAAAAGUUAGAGUGUUUAAAGCAGGCUCACGCUUGAAUACAUUAGCAUGGAAUAAUGAAAUAGGACGUUUGAUCCUAUUUUGUUGGCUUCUAGGAUUGACGUAAUGAUUAAUAGGGAUAGUUGGGGGCAUUAGUAUUCAAUUGUCAGAGGUGAAAUUCUUGGAUUUAUUGAAGACUAACUACUGCGAAAGCAUUUUGCCAAGGAUGUUUUCAUUAAUCAAGAACGAAAGUUAGGGGAUCGAAGACGAUCAGAUACCGUCGUAGUCUUAACCAUAAACUAUGCCGACUAGGGAUCGGAUGAUGUUAAUUUUUUCAAUGACUCAUUCGGCGCCU